rnacentral:rRNA from 1 species
AUGGCCGAAUGCUUCAAUAGGGUGCUCAAAGGUGCACGUGGAUUACCCGUGACAGCAAUAGUUCAAUACACAUUUGACAAGAUGAAUGCGUACUUUCUAAAGUACUUGAUGGAAACGGAUGCACAGAUAUCGGGCAAGAACCCACUUAAGUACAAGUACAAGUUCCCACCCAAGGUUGAUGAAUGGUUACAAUUUCAAUCACGGAAGGCGGACUCAGAAGAAGCUAUAUUAUAUGACAACGAAGAGUGGAAGUACAAAGUGAAAGAGCUAGGAGGAACCACAAACGAUGGCCGCCAACAUGGAGGUCGGGCUUUCAAGGUGUCGUUAACACAAUGUGAUUGCUCUUGCAGAAGGCCAUUGUUGCUUCAUCUCCCAUGCUCACACUUGUAUACGGCCGGUCGCAUUAGGAAUGUGGACAUCAAUCACCCACGCACCAUGAGGGAGUCGGAGUUCUCAAUCAUGAUGGUCAAGAAAACAUGGGCUCCCCGCUUUCACCCAUAUUUUGACCAAUCACAAUAGCCGGAGUACCAUGGUGUUAAACUAUAGCCGGAUCCGGAGUUGAAGGUUGUUAAAUGGGGUAGACGUAAGACAAAGCGUCUUAGAGGCGACAUGGACGGAUGGGGCCAUGGUGGCUACCGCGAAGCGGGCAACGACCAAUUCCAAGAGCGUCGUGAGAGCUCCCGUUGUGGGGAGUACAAAGGUCAUGGCCACAACAAAAUAAAAUGUACGAAACCAAGGAAAAGGUCCAACAAGGAGCUACAGAAGGAAGCCAACCAAGUGGUAGCCAACAAGUGCCAAGCCAACCAAGUGUUAGCCAAAGAGGAUCUAGGCAACAAAGAGGUCGACAACUAG